UCGGGAAUUUUGGGCAAUGGGCGAAAGCCUGACCCAGCAACGCCGCGUGAGGGAUGAAGUAUUUCGGUAUGUAAACCUCGAAAGAAUGGGAAGAAUAAAUGACGGUACCAUUUAUAAGCUCCGGCUAACUACGUGCCAGCAGCUGCGGUAAUACGUAGGGAGCAAGCGUUGUUCGGAUUUACUGGGCGUAAAGGGCGCGUAGGCGGCGCGGUAAGUCACUUGUGAAAUCUCUGAGCUUAACUCAGAACGGCCAAGUGAUACUGCUGUGCUAGAGUGCGGAAGAGGCAACCGGAAUUCUUGGUGUAGCGGUGAAAUGCGUAGAUAUCAAGAGGAACACCUGAGGCGAAGGCGGGUUGCUGGGCCGACACUGACGCUGAUGCGCGAAAGCCAGGGGAGCAAACA
rnacentral:rRNA from 1 species